UCGGCUAACUCCGUGCCAGCAGCCGCGGUAUACGGGGGAUGCAAGCGUUAUCCGGAAUCAUUGGGCGUAAAGCGCCUGUAGGUUGUUUAAUAAGUCUGUUGUUAAAGACUAGGGCUUAACCCUAGGAAAGCAAUGGAAACUACUAGACUAGAGUAUGGCAGGGGUAGAGGGAAUUUCUAGUGUAGCGGUGAAAUGCGUAGAUAUUAGAAAGAACACCGGUGGCGAAAGCGCUCUACUGGACCAUUACUGACACUCAGAGGCGAAAGCUAGGGUAGCAAAAGGGAUUAGAUACCCCUGUAGUCCUAGCCGUAAACGAUGGAUACUAGAUGUUGUGCUUCAUGUACAGUAUCGUAGCUAACGCGUUAAGUAUCCCGCCUGGGGAGUACGCUCGCAAGGGUGAAACUCAAAGGAAUUGACGGGGGCCCGCACAAGCGGUGGAGCAUGUGGUUUAAUUCGAUGCAACGCGAAGAACCUUACCAGGGCUUGACAUACUACAAAUUCUUUUGAGAAAAAGAAGUGCCUUCGGGAAUGUAGAUACAGGUGGUGCAUGGCUGUCGUCAGCUCGUGUCGUGAGAUGUUGGGUUAAGUCCCGCAACGAGCGCAACCCUUAUUUUUAGUUACCAAUUCGUUGGGUUCUCUAGAAAGACUGCCGGUGACAAACCGGAGGAAGGUGAGGAUGACGUCAAGUCAGCAUGCCCCUUAUGUCCUGGGCUACACACGUGCUACAAUGGCUAAGACAAAGAGUCGCGAACUUGCAAGAGUCAGCUAAUCUCAUAAACUUAGCCUAAGUUCGKAUUGUAGGCUGCCACUCCNCCCC
rnacentral:rRNA from 1 species